CUCUACUUUUAAGAUUAGACUUAAAACUUUCCUUUUGCUAAAGCAUAUAGUUAGGGCUGGACCAGGUGACCCUGAAUCCUCCCUUAGUUAUGCUGCAAUAGGUGCAUGUUUCUGGGGGAUUCCCAUGAUGCAGAUCCAGUGAAAGUAGUUCUGGCAUGUGACAAGGAUUCCACCUGGGCGUCUCCCAGGUGAGGUGUACUGGCUGUGUCCAACCAGCGGGAGGCCCUGGAUCAGACCCAGGACCUGAUGGAGUUCCCCUGGAUAAGCUGGAGGAGGUGGCUGUGGAGAGGGAGGACACCAGGAGAGAUGAGCAUAUCCAGCCCACAUCUGCAGCAACUGUACUUAAGGGAAGUUGGGACAAUGUUAAAGACUUUCUCCACGCAACUGCACUUGGAUUAGCUAAAUUCAUGACAGGCAUUCAAGCAGUAAUGUCUGGACUGACAACCAAACAUACCAAGCUUCUGUGGUUGAGCCAGAGACUGCACUUGUGGAUGAACAAUACAAACAUAUUAUAUUUAUUAUAUCAGUAAUGUAACUUGCAACAAAAAGUUAUGGGAAGCUUAAACUUAGUUUCAGAAUAAUUAAAUCUGAGACUGGUACAGUUAGCAAAGUGUGAUCCACUGAACAAAGUGAGGAAGCUGAUCCACUUUGACAUGUCUGUUGUGAAAAGACUUUAUUGGAUUCCUACAUCCAGGUAGGUCUGGAUAGCU
ensembl:lncRNA